rnacentral:rRNA from 1 species
UACGUAGGGUGCAAGCGUUAAUCGGAAUUACUGGGCGUAAAGCGUGCGCAGGCGGUUUUGUAAGUCUGACGUGAAAUCCCCGGGCUCAACCUGGGAAUUGCGUUGGAGACUGUAAGGCUAGAAUCUGGCAGAGGGGGGUAGAAUUCCACGUGUAGCAGUGUAAUGCGUAGAGAUGUGGAGGAACACCGAUGGCGAAGGCAGCCCCCUGGGUCAAGAUUGACGCUCAUGCACGAAAGCGUGGGGAGCGAACAGG